AGUCUCCAGGGCUGGAAUACAGAUGUGAGCAGGACCAUUCCUGGCCUCCCGGCUCUGAGGAGGCGAAGCGCAGGCCCACAGCUGUGCGGCAGGAGCCACCCUCACAGCAGAGCCGGUGUAGACGCUUGAACGGCUCCUGCAGACACUCCCCUCUCCCCCUCUUAAAAAAACAAAUGCCCUGGCCUCCAUAGCCCCCAACAUACCUGCUUGUGCCCUCCUCUCUCCACUGGUAUCACAAACAGAAACAUCAAUCUGCCUUUGUUUUGCCAGAGGGGCAAGGCUGUGGAACCCCAGAAGACAGGCCUCUGAGAGGACCCGGGUCACCCGGACCUGGACUCAAAUCCCAUCCCUGUACCUCUCCUUGGAUGAACCAUCGAACACUGAGCUUCCAUUUUGCAUCUUCCAACUGCACAGAGAAUUCAUAGGCAAGCGGAGGCCUGAUGUGGAACUAAUGGGGCUCUGCGUCAUGGGCAACUAAACCUGGAGGGGGCACCGUGCCCGGUUCUCCCAGAGAAGAGAAGAAGGACUGGGCAGACAGCUCUCCAUCUCUCUGUGGAGGCCUCCCCUCCCACUUCCUUCCCCAACACCCCACCUCCACCUGCUGCUUCCAACCCCCAGCCCUGUUGGUUCUAGAAAGUUUGGUUGUUAUCCAGCAGGAGGAUGAGGACUGGUUUAGAGCAGAGCCAUUAAACUACAACCUGUGGGCCAAAGCUGGCCCACCCCUUGUUUUUCUAAAUAAAGUUUUAUUGAAACA